GACGAACGCUGGCGGCGUGCCUAAUACAUGCAAGUCGAGCGAGACUCUUCGGAGUCUAGCGGCGGACGGGUGAGUAACACGUGGGCAACCUGCCUGUAAGACUGGGAUAACACCGGGAAACCGGUGCUAAUACCGGAUAAUCCUUUUUCUCUCAUGAGGAAAAGCUGAAAGUCGGUUUCGGCUGACACUUACAGAUGGGCCCGCGGCGCAUUAGCUAGUUGGUGAGGCAACGGCUCACCAAGGCGACGAUGCGUAGCCGGCCUGAGAGGGUGAUCGGCCACACUGGGACUGAGGCACGGCCCAGACUCCUACGGGAGGAAGCAGUAGGGAAUCUUCCACAAGGGACGAAAGUCUGAUGGAGCAACGCCGCGUGAGCGAUGAAGGCCUUCGGGUCGUAAAGCUCUGUUGUUAGGGAAGAACAAGUACCGCAGUAACUGCCGGUACCUUGACGGUACCUAACCAGAAAGCCACGGCUAACUACGUGCCAGCCGCCGCGGUAAGAC
rnacentral:rRNA from 1 species